rnacentral:rRNA from 1 species
AAAAACAGAACUGUGGGGACAUUUGUGGAAAGCACAGGCGCGGAACGGAAAGCCGCGUGCAAGCGAAGGAGGAGUCACAUAGGAAAAACCGUGUGGCAAUCCAAAGGCGUGAUGCGGACCGAAUUAAAGUAGGGAAGUGUGUGAGCCAUGAAUCAAGAAAAGCCGCUAUUGUUUUUAAGAUACCCGUACCGUGAACCGACACAGGUGGAUGAGGAGAGAAUCCUAAGGCCGGCGGAAGAAGCAUUGUUAAGGAACUCGGCAAAAUGACCCCGUAACUUCGGGAGAAGGGGUGCCAACGAGAGUUGGCCGCAGAGAAUAGGCUCAAGCAACUGUUUAGCAAAAACACAGGUCUAUGCAAAACCGUAAGGUGAGGUAUAUGGGCUGACGCCUGCCCGGUGCUGGAAGGUUAAGAGGAGAGGUUAGCGCAAGCGAAGCUUUGAAUUUAAGCCCCAGUAAACGGCGGCCGUAACAAUAACGGUCCUAAGGUAGCGAAAUUCCUUGUCGGGUAAGUUCCGACCCGCACGAAAGGCAUAAUGAUUUGAGCGCUGUCUCGACAAUGCAUCCGGUGAAAUUGAAGUACCAGUGAAGAUGCUGGUUACCCGCGCCAGGACGGAAAGACCCCAUGGAGCUUUACUCCAGUUUGGUACUGGGGUCCGGCAGUGCAUGUACAGGAUAGGUGGGAGGCUGAGAACCUGGAACGCCAGUUUCAGGGGAGCCAUUGUUGGGAUACCACCCUUGUGCUGCUGGGCUUCUAACCAGCGGCCUUUAUCAGGCCGGGGGACAAUGCCAGACGGGGAGUUUGACUGGGGCGGUCGCCUCCGAAAGGGUAUCGGAGGCGCUCAAAGGUUCCCUCAGAAUGGUCGGAAACCAUUCGAAGAGUGCAAAGGCAGAAGGGAGCUUGACUGCGACACCGACGGGUGGAGCAGGUACGAAAGUAGGACUUAGUGAUCCGGUGGUAUUAAGUGGGAAUGCCAUCGCUCAACGGAUAAAAGCUACCCUGGGAUAACAGGCUUAUCACUCCCAAGAGUUCACAUCGACGGAGUGGUUUGGCACCUCGAUGUCGGCUCAUCGCAUCCUGGGGCUGUAGUAGGUCCCAAGGGUUGGGCUGUUCGCCCAUUAAAGCGGUACGCGAGCUGGGUUCAGAACGUCGUGAGACAGUUCGGUCCCUAUCCGGCGUGGGCGUAGGAUAUUUGAGAGGAGCUGUCCUUAGUACGAGAGGACCGGGAUGGACUGACCUCUGGUGUACCGGUUGAACCGCCAGGUUCACGGCCGGGUAGCCAAGUCGGGAAGGGAUAAACGCUGAAGGCAUCUAAGCGUGAAGCCCCCCUCAAGAUGAGAUAUCCCAUUCGAAAGAAGUAAGACCCCUUGAAGACGACGAGGUAGAUAGGGCAGAGGUGGAAGUGCCGUAAGGCAUGGAGCUGACUGUUACUAAUCGGUCGAGGGCUUGACC